rnacentral:rRNA from 1 species
GAUCCUACGGGGGGCAGCAGUGAGGAAUAUUGGUCAAUGGGAGAGAUCCUGAACCAGCCAAGCCGCGUGAGGGAAGACGGCUCUAUGGGUUGUAAACCUCUUUUGUCGGAGAACAAAACCCGGGACGAGUCCCGGACUGCGUGUAUCCGAAGAAAAAGCAUCGGCUAACUCCGUGCCAGCAGCCGCGGUAAUACGUAGGGUGCAAGCGUUAUCCGGAUUUGUUGGGCGUAAAGGGCUCGUAGGCGGUUCGUCGCGUCCGGCGUGAAAGUCCAUCGCUUAACGGUGGAUCCGCG